GGGGGCAUUUGCAGAAAGGGCAGUAGGAGAGCAGUUUGGAGGGAGGUAAGGCAGGAAGCACUCAGUCCUGGGCUCAGGGACUGUGACGUGCUGCUGGAACCUGCCUGGGGAGCUCAGGAAUGAGGGGAGAUGGCAAAUAAAGACCUGGCAUGAGGCUGGGGGCAGGGACAGAAAUCACCCUGGUGUCCGAGGAAGGAAAGUGGAACGCUAAAGAGAAGCCAUGGAGCAACCCAAGAGGAGCCUGGGAGACAGCAACUUGGUGGCUGCUGAAAGACAGUUUCAGCUAAGGGGCAGGAGUGAGAGCCAGCCAGCACUGCAGAAGGUGGGGGGAAAGGCAAGCAGCCUAGAUGGUUCCUUCAAGAGGUUUGUCGAUAAAAGGAGCAGUCAAUAGGACCCAGGACAGAACCCACACCAGCAUGUGAUCUCGACUCACUCUUUUUCCCCUGCCCUACUGAAAGCUGGCUGGGGACCUGGAGUGUUUGCAACGACGCAAGAUGAGAAGCUGGGUCACUGAAACAUUAACUCACAGACCAGGGUGGGUUGCAGCUGAUCCAACAGGCUGGACAGCCGCAUCAAUGCUUCCUAGAAGAGGAGAUGGGAGGAGAGAGUGAGCCCAGGAGCCUCUGCGUGGAGACCAAGGGGCCGAGGAGCACAGAAAGCCCCAGGGCUACGCAUCUUGGGUCAAAAGUCGCUGAAAAGAUAUUGAUAUCUACUUUUCUUUCUUUUUUUUUUUUUUCACUGUCUUUUUCUGGUUUUAGUAUCAGGGUAAUAUUAGCUUCAUAAAAUGUGGUGGUAAGUGUUCCUUCCCCUCCUAUUUUCUGGGAGAGAUUAUGUAAAAUUAUUGGUCACUAUAGAGAUUAUGACAUACAUACACAACUUACCACAAGCUACUGGUGUUGACACUGCCACUUUGAGUAAGUGUAGAAACCUUACUUCCAUUUAGUUCUCUUUAGCUUCCCCACUUAAAAAUAUAUGUGUCUUGAGUGUGUUCUUUACAUAUAUUGAACAUCACAUAAGAUGCUGUUACAAUUUUUGCUUCAAUCAUCAAAUAUGAUUUCAGAUACUCAUGAGAAGUAUAGUCUGUUGUAUUUAUUUCUAUUUAUGUACUUCCCAUAGUUUGUUUUUCUUUUCUGGAGCUCCAAGCAUUCUUGAAACCAAUGAGAAAAGUGGAAAAAUCUCAGUCCAGAAAUAGAAGGUAUAAUUUUUAAAUAAAAGCUUCUGUUCAGAUAACAUUCUUUACCCAAUCUUUAAAGAUACAUUUGCCAACAAUAAAUGCUCUUAGUUUUUCUUCAUCCAAGAAUGUUUUGCUUUCUCCUUCAUUUCUGAAGGAUGUUUUCACCAGAUACAGUAUUCACAGUUGACAGUUCUUUUUCUCAGUACUUGAAAGAUGCUGAGCCACUUCCUCUGGCCUCCAUCAUUUCAGAUGGGAAAUCCACUAUCAUUGCAAUUAAUUUUUCCCAUGUCAUAAAUGUGUUAUUUCUUUCUGACUGCUUUCAAUAUGUUUUUGUCUUUAGUUUAACUAUUUAAUUAUGAUGUGGAUUUCUUUACAUCUAGCCUGCUUGGAAUCCACUAAACUUCUUGAAUCUGUAGGUUUAUGUCUUUCUCCAAAUUUGAGAAGUUUUUAACCACUACUUCUUUGAAUACUUUUAGUCUCACUCUCUUCUCCUUUGGGACUCAGAAGGUAUGGCUGUUAGCUCUUUUCUUAUUGUCUCACAGGUCCCUGGGACUGUUAUUUCUUCCGUCUAUUUUUUUUUUUUUUUGAGACGGAGUCUCGCUCUGUCGCCCAGGUUGGACUGCAGCGGCGUGAUCUCGGCUCACUGCAAGCUCCGUCUUCCGGGUUCAUGCCA
rnacentral:lncRNA from 1 species